rnacentral:misc_RNA from 1 species
UUGGUUUGUGCUCUGCAAAAUGUCUUAUAAAAUUGAUAUUCGUCGAGGUGUUUAUAAUAUGGUUGGGCGAAUGUCGAAACGAGAUAUUGUUAAUAUUUAUCGAGAUAAAAACAUAAGCAAAUCGACAAUUUAUCGCACAAUCAGAGAAUGUGAAGAAGGGAUACCAUGUGUUAACUUGCGUAAAAGUGGCCGACCGCGGAUUUUGAACCAUAUAAGAGAGGCAAGACUGAUUGAAGCAGCUAAGAACAAAAUUGGGGUCUCACAGCGAAAACUGGCCAAGAGAUUUCAUGUUGGAAAGACUACAGUAUACAGGACCCUAUCGAGUAACAAUAUUAUCUACCGGAAAAGAAGGAAAGCUCCAAAAUACACAGAGGAUCAAUUAGAGAGAAUUCCGAGAUGUUGCCGCGCGUUAAGGCGAGUGCAUUUCGUCAACAAGUUGAUCGUGAUGGACGAUGAAAAAUAUUUUACUUUGUCCAACUCUGAGAUGAAGGGUAACGAUGGGUUUUACACGAACGAUUACAAUUUGAGGACAAAAUUUUGGUAUGGUGUGCAAUUUCUGAGGCUGGCUUUAUCUCACAGCCCUACAUUGGUGUUGUUCGAGGCGAAGCCUUAAACGCAAAUAUUUAUAUUCAAAGAUGUCUCUCUAAAUUGCUUCAGUUUGUGAACACACAUCAUGCAAAUGAUCACAAGGGACUGGUACGAAACUAACAA